rnacentral:rRNA from 1 species
AUUAAUGUUUUGGUUUUUGAUGAUGAAUGAUUAAAAUAUAUUGUGUAAUAUUGGAUAGAANAAAAUAGUUCAGCACUAAGUCACUUUGUCUUUAUGGCAAAUGUGAGAUGCAGUGUAUGGAAUGUCAAAUUUCUAGUAUGAGAAAUUAACGAUUUAAGUCCUUCUUAAAUGAGGCCAUUUACCCAAAGAGGGUGCCAGGCCCGUAUAACGUUAAUGAUUACUAGAUGGCAUUUCCAAAGAGUCGUGUUGCUUGAUAGUGCAGCACUAAGUGGGUGGUAAACUCCAUCUAAAACUAAAUAUAACCAUGAGACCGAUAGUAAACAAGUACCGUGAGGGAAAGUUGAAAAGAACUCUGAAUAGAGAGUUAAAUAGUACGUGAAACUGCUUAGAGGUUAAGCCCGAUGAACCUGAAUAUCCAUUAUGGAAAAUUCAUCAUUAUGAUUUUAAUAUUUGUAAUAUUAUAAUAAUGGUGUGCAUUUUUUCUAUAAAGGACAUUGUAAUCUAUUAACUUUAAUAUAUUUAUCAUAAGAUCAUUAGAUUAUGUUUAUUCAAAUUAUUUUGCUUGCAAUUUAAUAUCGAAUAAAUUCUUUUGAUUUGAUAAAGUGUUGAUAGAUUUAUUAUAUACAGUGCUUAAAUAUUUAUAUUUUAUAAUAUCAUAUUAAUCAAUGAUUUUUAUGUUCAUUAUAUGCACUUGUAUGAUUAACAAUGCGAAAGAUUCAGGAUACCUUCGGGACCCGUCUUGAAACACGGACCAAGGAGUCUAACAUAUUUGCAAGUUAUUGGGAAUAAAAACCUAAUAGCGAAAUUAACAUAACUUUAAUGGGAUUAGUUUUUAGCCUAUUUAUAGUCUAUUAAUUCAAUCCCGGGGCGUUCUAUACAGUUAUGUAUAAUAAUAUUUAUAUUAUUUAUACCUCUAACUAGAGCGUACCUUGAGCAUAUAUGCUGUGACCCGAAAGAUGGUGAACUAUACUUGAUCAGGUUGAAGUCAGGGGAAAAAUUAUGUAAAAUAAUCUUAUCUGGUAAAGCGAAUGAUUAGAGGCCUUAGGGUCGAAACGAUCUUAACCUAUUCUCAAACUUUAAAUGGGUAAGAACCUCACCUUUCUUGGUAUGAAGGUUGUGGUUGUGAUAUAAUGUGCCCAGUGGGCCACUUUUGGUAAGCAGAACUGGCGCUGUGGGAUGAACCAAACGUAAUGUUACGGUGCCCAAAUUAACAACUCAUGCAGAUACCAUGAAAGGCGUUGGUUGCUUAAAACAGCAGGACGGUGGACAUGGCAGUCGNCUCUAACUAGAGCGUACCUUGAGCAUAUAUGCUGUGACCCGAAAGAUGGUGAACUAUACUUGAUCAGGUUGAAGUCAGGGGAAACCCUGAUGGAAGACCGAAACAGUUCUGACGUGCAAAUCGAUUGUCAGAAUUGAGUAUAGGGGCGAAAGACCAAUCGAACCAUCUAGUAGCUGGUUCCCUCCGAAGUUUCCCUCAGGAUAGCUGGUGCAUUUAAAAAUUAUGUAAAAUAAUCUUAUCUGUGUAACAACUCACCUGCCGAAGCAACUAGCCCUUAAAAUGGAUGGCGCUUAAGUUGUAUACCUAUACAUUACCGCUAAAGUAGAUGGUUUAUAUUCAAUCUCGGUUGGAUUUUAAACUUUGAAACUUUAGUGAGUAGGAGGGUACAAUGGUAAGCAUAGAAGUGUUUGGCGUAAGCCUGCAUGGAGCUGCCAUUGGCACAGAUCUUGGUGGUAGUAGCAAAUAAUCGAAUGAGACCUUGGAGGACUGAAGUGGAGAAGGGUUUCGUGUGAACAGUGGUUGAUCACGAGUUAGUCGGUCCUAAGUUUAAGGCGAAAGCCGAAAAUUUUCAAGUUAUAAUGAAUAAGUAAAAUAUAUACAAGUAUAUAUAAGAAAAAGUAAUAAAACACUUGAAUAAUUUUGAACGAAAGGGAAUACGGUUCCAAUUCCGUAACCUGUUGAGUAUCCGUUUGUUAUUAAAUAUGGGCCUUGUGCUCAUCCUGGCAACAGGAACGACCAUAAAGAAGCCGUCGAGAGAUAUCGGAAGAGUUUUCUUUUCUGUUUUAUAGUCGUACUACCAUGGAAGUCUUUCGAAGAGAGAUAUGGUAGAUGGACUAGAAGAGCAUGACAUUUACUGUUGUGUCGAUAUUUUCUCCUCGGACCUUGAAAAUUUAUGGUGGGGUCACGCAAACUUCUCAACAGGCCGUACCAAUAUCCGCAGCUGGUCUCCAAGGUGAAGAGUCUCUAGUCGAUAGAAUAAUGUAGGUAAGGGAAGUCGGCAAAUUAGAUCCGUAACUUCGGGAUAAGGAUUGGCUCUGAAGAUUGAGAUAGUCGGGCUUGAUUGGGAAGCAAUAACAUGGUUUAUGUACUCGUUCUGGGUAAAUAGAGGUUCUCGGAUCUUGUUCCCCGGAUAGUAGUUACGUAGCCAAUUGUGGAACUUUCUUGCUAAAAUUUUUAGGGAAUUAUCGCAAGAUAUAUUCCUUUUAAAUUAUAACGACUAUCAAUUAACAAUCAAUUCAGAACUGGCACGGACUUGGGGAAUCCGACUGUCUAAUUAAAACAAAGCAUUGUGAUGGCCCUAACGGGUGUUGACACAAUGUGAUUUCUGCCCAGUGCUCUGAAUGUCAAAGUGAAGAAAUUCAAGUAAGCGCGGGUAAACGGCGGGAGUAACUAUGACUCUCUUAAGGUAGCCAAAUGCCUCGUCAUCUAAUUAGUGACGCGCAUGAAUGGAUUAACGAGA